UUGAACGGAUUGAAAG
rnacentral:sRNA from 1 species